CCUACGGGCGGCAGCAGUGGGGAAUAUUGCACAAUGGGGGAAACCCUGAUGCAGCGACGCCGCGUGAGUGAAGAAGUAUUUCGUUACGUAAAGCUCUAUCAGCAGGGAAGAAACACUGACCUUCCGGUCAGCAGACGGUACCUGAGUACGAACCACCAGCUACCUACGUCCCAGCAGCCGCGGGAAUACGGUGGGGGCCAGCGUUAUCCGGAUUUAUUGGGGGUAAAGGGAGCGUAGACGGGGCGCGAAGUCUGGAGUGAAAGGCCGCAGCCUAACAGCGGAACUGCUUUGGAAACUGGCGAACUAGAGUGCAGGAGAGGUAAGCGGAAGUCCUAGUGUAGCGGUGAAAUGCGUAGAUAUUAGGAGGAACACCGGUGGCGAAGGCGGCUUACUGGACCGUAACUGACGUUGAGGCUCGAAAGCGUGGAGAGCAAACAGGAUUAGAUACCCUGGUAGUC
rnacentral:rRNA from 1 species